CACGAGGUAGCAAUACUUUGGUGGCGACCGGCGCACGGCCGAGUAACGCGUAUGUAACCUACCCUGUACAGGGGGAUAGCCCGGAGAAAUUCGGAUUAAUACCCCAUAAAGAUAUCGAGAGGCAUCUUUUGAUAUUUAAAGUUACGACGGUACGGGAUGGGCAUGCGUAACAUUAGCUAGUUGGUAGGGUAACGGCCUACCAAGGCAACGAUGUUUAGGGGUCCUGAGAGGGUGAUCCCCCACACUGGUACUGAGACACGGACCAGACUCCUACGGGAGGCAGCAGUGAGGAAUAUUGGUCAAUGGGCGCAAGCCUGAACCAGCCAUCCCGCGUGCAGGAAGAAGGCGCUAUGCGUUGUAAACUGCUUUUCCAGAGGAAGAAAACCUGCUACGUGUAGUGGCUUGCCGGUACUCUGCGAAUAAGCCACGGCUAACUAUGUGCCAGCAGCCGCGGUAAGACAUAGGUGGCAAGCGUUACUCGGAAUUACUAGGCGUAAAGCGCGUGCAGGCGGAUGCUUAAGUCUGUAGUUUAAUCUCCCGGCUCAACCGGGAAAGGUCUGCGGAUACUGAGCAUCUGGAGUGGGACAGAGGAAGCUGGAAUUCCCGGUGUAGCGGUGAAAUGUGUAGAUAUCGGGAGGAACACCAGUGGCGAAGGCGACUUUCUGGCUGUCCACUGACACUGAAACGCGAGAGCUAGGGGAGCAAACAGGAUUAGAUACCCUGGUAGUCCUAGCCGUAAACGAUGUACACUAGGUGUCGGGCCCUUUGGGUUCGGUGCCGCAGUUAACACAUU
rnacentral:rRNA from 1 species